AGAGUUUGAUUCUGGCUCAGAACGAACGCUGACAGCGUGGAUUAGGCAUGCAAGUCGAACGGGAAUCCCGGCUAUAGCAAUAUAAUCGGGAGGAUAGUGGCGAAAGGGUGAGUAACGCGUGGGUAACCUACCCUCGAGAUGGGGAUAACUCCGCGAAAGCGGUGCUAAUACCGAAUGUGGUUCCUGGCCGCAUGGUCGGGUAACUGAAGAUGGGGACUCUUCGGAGCCUGUCACUCGGUGAGGGGCCCGCGUCCUAUCAGCUAGUUGGUGAGGUAACGGCUCACCAAGGCUUCGACGGGUAGCUGGUCUGAGAGGAUGGUCAGCCACACUGGGACUGAGACACUGCCCAGACUCCUACGGGAGGCUGCAGUCGAGGAUCAUUGGCAAUGCGCGCAAGCGUGACCAUGCGACGCUGUGUGGAGGAUGAAGGCCUUCGGGUCGUAAACUCCUGUCAUGAGGGAAAAAUCCUUCGGCCCGGAAUAUGGGUUGGAGUUGAUGGUACCUCAAGAGGAAGCGGCUGCUAACUCUGUGCCAGCAGCAGCGGUAAUACAGAGGCCGCAAGCGUUGUUCGGAUUUACUGGGCGUAAAGGGUGCGUAGGUUGUUCUGCAUGUCGGAUGUGAAAGCCCACGGCUCAACCGUGGAAGGCCAUCCGAAACUGUAGAGCUUGAGUCCAGGAAGGGAGAGCGGAAUUCUUGGUGUAGCGGUGAAAUGCGUUGAUAUCAAGAGGAACGCCGGCGGCGAAGGCGGCUCUCUGGACUGGUACUGACACUGAGGCACGAAAGCUGGGGGAGCAAACAGGAUUAGAUACCCUGGUAGUCCCAGCCUUAAACGGUGCGCACUUGGUGUGGGGGGAAUUGACCCCUCCCGUGCCGGAGCUAACGCGUUAAGUGCGCCGCCUGGGGAGUACGGUCGCAAGAUUAAAACUCAAAGAAAUUGACGGGGGCCCGCACAAGCGGAGGAGCAUGUGGCUCAAUUCGAUGCAACGCGAAGAACCUUACCUGGGCUUGACAUGCAGCUGCAGGCCCCGUGAAAGCGGGGCGGCCUUCGAGGGUGCUGCACAGGUGCUGCAUGGCUGUCGUCAGUUCGUGCCGUGAGGUGUUGGGUUAAGUCCCGCAACGAACGCAACCCUUGUGGUUAGUUGCCACCGGCGGUGAUGAGCCGCCGAGCACUCUAGCUAGACUGCCCGUACAAGCGGGAGGAAGGUGGGGAUGACGUCAAGUCAGCAUGGCCCUUACGCCCAGGGCUGCACACGUGCUACAAUGGCCGGUACAGAGGGAGGCAAUACCGCGAGGUGGAGCAAAUCCAUUAGAACCGGCCCCAGUUCAGAUUGCAGGCUGCAACUCGCCUGCAUGAAGUCGGAUUCGCUAGUAACGGCGCAUCAGCUACGGCGCCGUGAAUACGUUCCCGGGCCUUGUACACACCGCCCGUCACAUCAUGAAAGCCGUCUGCACCCGAAGUCGCUGAGCUAACCCGCAAGGGAGGCAGGUGCCUAAGGUGUGGGUGGUGAUUGGGAUGAAGUCGAAACAAGGUA
rnacentral:rRNA from 1 species